rnacentral:snoRNA from 1 species
UAUAAAAGUAGUGGGCUGCACACUGGUGUGGAGUCAUAGGAUUAGAGGAUGCAAGCAAUGUUCAGUACUGCCCUAAGGAAAAAAGUGCACAGAGGCCACUCAGUCAUC